GUGGGGAAUAUUGGGCAAUGGGGGCAACCCUGACCCAGCGACGCCGCGUGGGUGAAGAAAUCCCUCGGGAUGUAAAGCCCUGUUGUAUGGGAAGAGCAGAAGACGGUACCAUACGAGGAAGCCCCGGCAAACUACGUGCCAGCAGCCGCGGUAAUACGUAGGGGGCAAGCGUUGUCCGGAAUUACUGGGCGUAAAGCGCACGCAGGCUGAAUUAUAAGUCGGUAGUCAAAUACGGAGGCUCAACUUCCGGAUAUCUAUCGAUACUGUAAAUCUAGAGUAUGUGAGAGGGAAGCGGAAUUCCCGGUGUAGCGGUGAAAUGCGUAGAUAUCAGGAGGAACACCGAUGGCGAAAGCAGUCUCCUGGCCAAAUACUGACGCUGAGGUACGAAAGCUAGGGUAGCAAACAGGAUUAGAUACCCUUGUAGUCC
rnacentral:rRNA from 1 species